GGAGAGGAGUGACAGGUGGUGCAUGGUUGUCGUCAGCUCGUGUCGUGAGAUGUUGGGUUAAGUCCCGCAACGAGCGCAACCCUUAUCUUUAGUAGCCAGCGGUUCGGCCGGGCACUCUAGAGAGACUGCCAGGGAUAACCUGGAGGAAGGCGGGGAUGACGUCAAAUCAUCAUGCCCCUUAUGACUUGGGCUACACACGUGCUACAAUGGCGUAAACAAAGGGAAGCAAAGCUGUGAAGCCGAGCAAAUCUCAAAAAUAACGUCUCAGUUCGGACUGUAGUCUGCAACCCGACUACACGAAGCUGGAAUCGCUAGUAAUCGCAGAUCAGAAUGCUGCGGUGAAUACGUUCCCGGGUCUUGUACACACCGCCCGUCACACCAUGGGAGUUGGGAAUGCCCGAAGCCAGUGACCUAACCGAAAGGAAGGAGCUGUCGAAGGCAGGCUCGAUAACUGGGGUGAAGUCGUAACAAGGUAACCAAGGGCGAAUUCUG
rnacentral:rRNA from 1 species